GACGAACGCUGGCGGCGUGCCUAACACAUGCAAGUCGAACGAGCGAGCGAGAGCUUGCUGUCUUGAGCGAGUGGCGAACGGGUGAGUAACGCGUGAGGAACCUGCCUCAAAGAGGGGGACAACAUUAGGAAACGACUGCUAAUACCGCAUAAGACCACGGUGCCGCAUGGCACAGAGGGAAAAGGAGCAAUCCGCUUUGAGAUGGCCUCGCGUCCGAUUAGCUAGUUGGUGUGGUAACGGCCCACCAAGGCGACGAUCGGUAGCCGGACUGAGAGGUUGAACGGCCACAAUGGGACUGAGACACGGCCCAGACUCCUACGGGAGGCAGCAGUGGGGAAUAUUGCACAAUGGGGGAAACCCUGAUGCAGCGACGCCGCGUGGAGGAAGAAGGUCUUCGGAUUGUAAACUCCUGUUGUUGGGGAAGAUAAUGACGGUACCCGGCAAAGAAGUGACGGCUAACUACGUG
rnacentral:rRNA from 1 species